CAGCCGCCGCGGGAAUACGUAGGGUGCAAGCGUUAAUCGGAAUUACUGGGCGUAAAGCGUGCGCAGGCGGUUAUAUAAGACAGUCGUGAAAUCCCCGGGCUCAACCUGGGAACUGCGAUUGUGACUGUAUGGCUAGAGUGUGUCAGAGGGGGGUAGAAUUCCACGUGUAGCAGUGAAAUGCGUAGAUAUGUGGAGGAAUACCGAUGGCGAAGGCAGCCCCCUGGGAUAACACUGACGCUCAUGCACGAAAGCGUGGGGAGCAAACAGGAUUAGAUACCCCGGUAGUCCCUGUCUCUUAUAC
rnacentral:rRNA from 1 species